UCAAGUGAAGAAGCGCAUACGGUGGAUGCCUUGGCAGUCAGAGGCGAUGAAAGACGUGGUAGCCUGCGAAAAGCUUCGGGGAGUCGGCAAACAGACUUUGAUCCGGAGAUGUCUGAAUGGGGGAACCCAGCCAUCAUAAGAUGGUUAUCUUGUACUGAAUACAUAGGUGCAAGAGGCGAACCAGGGGAACUGAAACAUCUAAGUACCCUGAGGAAAAGAAAUCAACCGAGAUUCCCUUAGUAGUGGCGAGCGAACGGGGACUAGCCCUUAAGUGGCUUUGAGAUUAGCGGAACGCUCUGGAAAGUGCGGCCAUAGUGGGUGAUAGCCCUGUACGCGAAAAUCUCUUAGUCAUGAAAUCGAGUAGGACGGAGCACGAGAAACUUUGUCUGAAUAUGGGGGGACCAUCCUCCAAGGCUAAAUACUACUGACUGACCGAUAGUGAACUAGUACCGUGAGGGAAAGGCGAAAAGAACCCCGGAGAGGGGAGUGAAAUAGAUCCUGAAACCGUAUGCGUACAAGCAGUGGGAGCAGACUUUGUUCUGUGACUGCGUACCUUUUGUAUAAUGGGUCAGCGACUUAUUUUCAGUGGCGAGCUUAACCGAAUAGGGGAGGCGUAGCGAAAGCGAGUCUUAAUAGGGCGUCUAGUCGCUGGGAAUAGACCCGAAACCGGGCGAUCUAUCCAUGGGCAGGUUGAAGGUUGGGUAACACUAACUGGAGGACCGAACCGACUACCGUUGAAAAGUUAGCGGAUGACCUGUGGAUCGGAGUGAAAGGCUAAUCAAGCUCGGAGAUAGCUGGUUCUCCUCGAAAGCUAUUUAGGUAGCGCCUCAUGUAUCACUGUAGGGGGUAGAGCACUGUUUCGGCUAGGGGGUCAUCCCGACUUACCAAACCGAUGCAAACUCCGAAUACCUACAAGUGCCGAGCAUGGGAGACACACGGCGGGUGCUAACGUCCGUCGUGAAAAGGGAAACAACCCAGACCGUCAGCUAAGGUCCCAAAGUUAUGGUUAAGUGGGAAACGAUGUGGGAAGGCUUAGACAGCUAGGAGGUUGGCUUAGAAGCAGCCACCCUUUAAAGAAAGCGUAAUAGCUCACUAGUCGAGUCGGCCUGCGCGGAAGAUGUAACGGGGCUCAAACCAUACACCGAAGCUACGGGUAUCACGUAAGUGAUGCGGUAGAGGAGCGUUCUGUAAGCCUGUGAAGGUGAGUUGAGAAGCUUGCUGGAGGUAUCAGAAGUGCGAAUGCUGACAUGAGUAACGACAAUGGGUGUGAAAAACACCCACGCCGAAAGACCAAGGUUUCCUGCGCAACGUUAAUCGACGCAGGGUUAGUCGGUCCCUAAGGCGAGGCUGAAAAGCGUAGUCGAUGGAAAACAGGUUAAUAUUCCUGUACUUCUGGUUAUUGCGAUGGAGGGACGGAGAAGGCUAGGCCAGCUUGGCGUUGGUUGUCCAAGUUUAAGGUGGUAGGCUGAGAUCUUAGGUAAAUCCGGGAUCUUAAGGCCGAGAGCUGAUGACGAGUGUUCUUUUAGAACACGAAGUGGUUGAUGCCAUGCUUCCAAGAAAAGCUUCUAAGCUUCAGGUAACCAGGAACCGUACCCCAAACCGACACAGGUGGUUGGGUAGAGAAUACCAAGGCGCUUGAGAGAACUCGGGUGAAGGAACUAGGCAAAAUGGCACCGUAACUUCGGGAGAAGGUGCGCCGGUGAGGGUGAAGGACUUGCUCCGUAAGCUCAUGCCGGUCGAAGAUACCAGGCCGCUGCGACUGUUUAUUAAAAACACAGCACUCUGCAAACACGAAAGUGGACGUAUAGGGUGUGACGCCUGCCCGGUGCCGGAAGGUUAAUUGAUGGGGUUAGCUAACGCGAAGCUCUUGAUCGAAGCCCCGGUAAACGGCGGCCGUAACUAUAACGGUCCUAAGGUAGCGAAAUUCCUUGUCGGGUAAGUUCCGACCUGCACGAAUGGCGUAACGAUGGCGGCGCUGUCUCCACCCGAGACUCAGUGAAAUUGAAAUCGCUGUGAAGAUGCAGUGUAUCCGCGGCUAGACGGAAAGACCCCGUGAACCUUUACUAUAGCUUUGCACUGGACUUUGAAUUUGCUUGUGUAGGAUAGGUGGGAGGCUUUGAAGCGUGGACGCCAGUCUGCGUGGAGCCAUCCUUGAAAUACCACCCUGGCAACUUUGAGGUUCUAACUCAGGUCCGUUAUCCGGAUCGAGGACAGUGUAUGGUGGGUAGUUUGACUGGGGCGGUCUCCUCCUAAAGAGUAACGGAGGAGUACGAAGGUGCGCUCAGACCGGUCGGAAAUCGGUCGUAGAGUAUAAAGGCAAAAGCGCGCUUGACUGCGAGACAGACACGUCGAGCAGGUACGAAAGUAGGUCUUAGUGAUCCGGUGGUUCUGUAUGGAAGGGCCAUCGCUCAACGGAUAAAAGGUACUCCGGGGAUAACAGGCUGAUACCGCCCAAGAGUUCAUAUCGACGGCGGUGUUUGGCACCUCGAUGUCGGCUCAUCACAUCCUGGGGCUGAAGCCGGUCCCAAGGGUAUGGCUGUUCGCCAUUUAAAGUGGUACGCGAGCUGGGUUUAGAACGUCGUGAGACAGUUCGGUCCCUAUCUGCCGUGGACGUUUGAGAUUUGAGAGGGGCUGCUCCUAGUACGAGAGGACCGGAGUGGACGAACCUCUGGUGUUCCGGUUGUCACGCCAGUGGCAUUGCCGGGUAGCUAUGUUCGGAAUAGAUAACCGCUGAAAGCAUCUAAGCGGGAAACUAGCCUCAAGAUGAGAUCUCACUGGAACCUUGAGUUCCCUGAAGGGCCGUCGAAGACUACGACGUUGAUAGGUUGGGUGUGUAAGCGCUGUGAGGCGUUGAGCUAACCAAUACUAAUUGCCCGUGAGGCUUGACCAU
rnacentral:rRNA from 1 species